UGGGGAAUAUUGCACAAUGGGCGCAAGCCUGAUGCAGCCAUGCCGCGUGUAUGAAGAAGGCCUUCGGGUUGUAAAGUACUUUCAGCGGGGAGGAAGGGAGUAAAGUUAAUACCUUUGCUCAUUGACGUUACCCGCAGAAGAAGCACCGGCUAACUCCGUGCCAGCAGCCGCGGUAAUACGGAGGGUGCAAGCGUUAAUCGGAAUUACUGGGCGUAAAGCGCACGCAGGCGGUUUGUUAAGUCAGAUGUGAAAUCCCCGGGCUCAACCUGGGAACUGCAACUGAUACUGGCAAGCUUGAGUCUCGUAGAGGGGGGGAGAAUUCCAGGUGUAGCGGUGAAAUGCGUAGAGAUCUGGAGGAAUAACGGUGGCGAAGGCGGCCCCCUGGACGAAGACUGACGCUCAGGUGCGAAAGCGUGGGGAGCAAACAGG
rnacentral:rRNA from 1 species